GAAAAACAAAUUAAAGAUUAAAAAGGAAAGAAUGAAUGAAUUCACAUAAUCAAAAGAAAGCAACACCAUCCAGGAAAAACAAAAGAAAAAUUGUUUGAUUGGCCACCAUAUUUUAAGAUAAAUUCCAAAGCAAAUACACUGAUAAAAAAAUUAAAAAUGAAAAACACGCAUAUACAAUUACCUGCAUAUCAACUUCUCUGCAUUACCACAUAUAUGCAAACUGUCAAGAUGAGCUUCUACAUGUGGAUUUAGAGGCAAAAGCAUGUAAUUACAAGUGAGCAAACACCGAAUUCUUCUCAAGAGACUAGAAGCAGGUUGAAUGUAAAAAUCUUACCCCAAAUUUCUAGUGAUUGACACUUCACCACUGAGCAAUUGUCUCUCCUCUGUCCAUUCGAACUGCAUUUUGUAACAAUUGAAUGAAAGAACCCAAAUGGUCACCAUAUCCAAACAAACAAGCAAAACAACAACAUACCAAUGAUGUGAUUCGAAGAAGAGAAAUGCACCAAAGAGCAAUACAAAAUUAAAGAAACUAUGUGGGAAAUCUGAGUAAACUAGCAGCCCGUGAUUAAGAUACAGAUUCUGAUUCUGGUUGAGUAUGAAUUUGGAAUCAUUUAAAUAAGAGUCUGACACAGAGAGACAUUCUGAUAAGUGAUAUUCAAACGUUGAAAACAACAGCAAGAUGAGAAAUAGACGGAAAAGUGGGAGAGUUUGCUGGGGAAGUGCAUUUUCUUCUUCUAAAUGCCUGUGUUGGAUGCAGUUUUUAACGUUUUGCGUUGCCGGUCUGGGCUGGCUGCUUGCCUCUCAUAAGCUCCUAUUGGCUAUUGGCUCCUACGUUUUCCAAGUCAAACGUGCUACGAUAAUCUGCUUCCUACUGCCUACCGCCAACAUCUUCAAAA
rnacentral:misc_RNA from 1 species